GUCUCUUUUCAGCUAUGUAACUAUGUAACUUUGAGUUUGUGGUAAUGAGUAUAAAGGCUAUGUUAAAGUUAAGUAAAACACCUCCUUUAUUUGACAUUGUCCAUGAGUCCAUACAUCCAAUGUGGGUAGUCUUCUCUGUAUGCUGUCUUUGUGCUGGCUGACAGGACAGAGCAAUACAAUAAUGGCCGACACAGGCCAAGAUAGAAGUGCCUAAUUGUAUGAUAAAGCAUUUUGAUUUCCUCUUUCAUUUAAAUUAAAUUUU